CGAGUGGCGUCGUGUACUUGUCGUUACGUUUCAGUGGACUGCGUAUCCAUCAUCACCUGAAGAUGAUGGAUACGCAGUCCAUUGAAACCUUGCGACUAGAAGACGACGCCACUCGGUUGAUAAUCCGUGAAGAUUUCAUGUAUGUCUAUCGUUUUCGAUACAGCGCGUACACGUCAUAAUGACGUCAGUCGUGAUUCCAUCAACGUAGAGUAAGACUCCAGCGUCAGGCGUUUUAUUGGCGUGAUACACUACGUGUAUGGACAUACUUUUAUUUCCAGAUUUUUUUUUAUUUUCCUUCAGUAGUAUAAUCCCAAGCGAAGAUAUUUUAUAAGCCCCAAUAAAAUAACUGACAUAUUGAAUGUGGCCUAAACUCGAUACUGCGUUUUUACGGUACGACAAAUUUCUUUGGAGCGACUGCAACGGUUCAGACAGAACUGAAGGUCAUUUGUUAAGGCAAUCACUUCGAUGGGAGUGGCUGUGUUGGUACUAAAUAGGAGGGCGCUGUUGUGCGGAAGUUUUGCAGUGUUGCACAAUUUGACAGACAGUCGUUAAGUGGCGUAUGCUGCAUAGCAUUGCGUAGAAGCCAGAAGGCCUGUGUAGCGCAUCGCAUAGGUUGUCAAGCUGUCUGAAAGCAGGAACGAAAGGUGGUGUUUCAGGCUUGACUCAGAUGCCAUACGUUCUAGUAAGAGGGAAUCUCGCAUCUUACGGACAGAGGCAGCCUUGGAGAGUUCUAGUGUCUGGAUUAAAAACAUCAGAUAUUGAGCAGAUGGACAGGUUUGCUUCAGGAGGUUAUAGUGAUGAAUCUACUAUUGUAUAUUUGCAACACCCCUGUGUUAUUUUGACAGCCCUUGAAGUUUUGGGCUAUAAAGUAGUUGCAUCUUCAUCUACAUCUGUCAAACAGGACUAUAAUGAAUACAUGUGGACACUGACAAAGGAUUUUGCUCAACAGAAAG